rnacentral:rRNA from 1 species
CCCGCUGAACUUAAGCAUAUCAAUAAGCGGAGGAAAAGAAACCAACAGGGAUUGCCCCAGUAACGGCGAGUGAAGCGGCAACAGCUCAAAUUUGAAAUCUGGCCUCACGGCCCGAGUUGUAAUUUGCAGAGGAUGCUUUUGGCGCGGCGCCUUCCGAGUGCCCUGGAACGGGACGCCAUAGAGGGUGAGAGCCCCGUCUGGCUGGCCACCGAGCCUCUGUAAAGCUCCUUCGACGAGUCGAGUAGUUUGGGAAUGCUGCUCAAAAUGGGAGGUAUAUGUCUUCUAAAGCUAAAUACCGGCCAGAGACCGAUAGCGCACAAGUAGAGUGAUCGAAAGAUGAAAAGCACCUUGAAAAGAGGGUUAAAUAGUACGUGAAAUUGUUGAAAGGGAAGCGCUUGUGACCAGACUUGGGCGCGGCGGAUCAUCCGGGGUUCUCUCCGGUGCACUUCGCCGCGUCUAGGCCAGCAUCAGUUCGUCGCGGGGGAAAAAGGCUUCGGGAACGUGGCUCCUCCGGGAGUGUUAUAGCCCGUUGCAUAAUACCCUGCUUUGGACUGAGGACCGCGCAUCUGCAAGGAUGCUGGCGUAAUGGUCACCAGCGACCCGUCUUGAAACACGG